UACAGAGGUCUCAACCGUUGUUCGGAUUCAUUGGGCGUAAAGGGUGCGUAGGCGGUCGUGCAAGUCGGAUGUGAAAUCUCAGGGCUCAACCCUGAAGCUGCAUUCGAUACUGCGCGGCUAGAGUGCUGGAGGGGAGACUGGAAUUUACGGUGUAGCAGUGAAAUGCGUAGAUAUCGUAAGGAAGACCAGUGGCGAAGGCGAGUCUCUGGACAGCAACUGACGCUGAGGCACGAAGGCCAGGGGAGCAAACGGG
rnacentral:rRNA from 1 species